rnacentral:rRNA from 1 species
CGGACGGGUGCGUAACGCGUAGGAAUCUGCCUAUUAGUGGGGGACAACGUGGUGAAAACCACGCUAAUACCGCAUACGCCCUACGGGGGAAAGCGGGGGAUCUUCGGACCUCGCGCUAUUAGAUGAGCCUGCGUUAGAUUAGCUAGUUGGUGAGGUAAUGGCUCACCAAGGCGACGAUCUAUAGCUGGUCUGAGAGGACGAUCAGCCACACUGGGACUGAGACACGGCCCAG